rnacentral:rRNA from 1 species
AUGCUCCGACCUGAUUGGAUUCCUCACAAAGACCAUCCACAGGCCUUGUCCCGGAUGCCGGAUCCCCUCUAUAAAACACCCGCCGCGAGCCGGAAGCAGGCGCCACGCCAGAGACACACAGCACAACCAGAGCUAUCGCGGCUGGCACUAGUGCGUGCCCUGCACCAACCAACUGAGCACAGGGUCGCCGUCGGCGGGAAGACCCGAGAAACGCUAGCUCUGGCUAGUUGCAUGCAGGACCGGGACAUGGGGCAAACGGGAGAGGCGGUGAGCGUCAGCCCGGCGCGGCUGCUUACCACCGCCGGCGAGCAGCAGGGCGACGCGGCGUCGUGGCUCGACCUCACGCUGGGCGUGAACUGCUCGCAGCCACCGGCGGCGGAGGACCCCUCGUCGUGCUCGGACGAAGAGCCGGCGGCCAAGCACAAGCAGGAGCAGCCGCCGCCUCCUCCUCCGGCGGCCGCGGCAGCGCCGACGACGCCCCACAAGGUGUUCUCGUGCAACUUCUGCAUGAGGAAGUUCUUCAGCUCGCAGGCGCUGGGCGGGCACCAGAACGCGCACAAGCGGGAGCGCAGCGCCGCCAAGCGCUCGUCGUCGCUGUCCUACCACCACGCGCACCACCAGCGGAUGGUCAUGGCCGGCCUGCCGCUCGAGGCGCACGCCGCGAUCGUGCGCGCCCUCAGGGUCAACCCGGCGGGCUCGGCGGUCCACAAGCCGGUCCGGCAAGAGGCCACGGCGGCGAGGCUCCACGACGGCGUGGUUGGCCCGUGGCCGCCGCUCGUCUACGAGGAGGUGCUCGGCUCCACGUCGUGGCCGGGGAGCUUCAGGAUGAGGACGCAGACGGAGCCACCUUCCUCGGACCCGGAGCAGCAGCUGCUACCAGAGCAAACCAAGAAGAUGGACUUGAGCCUUAGGCUGUGA